UAUACACUCUACUGUACGUCGCUCUGGAUAAGAGUGUCUGCUAAAUGACUGACA
rfam:Salmo salar isolate Sally breed double haploid chromosome ssa21, whole genome shotgun sequence.